rnacentral:lncRNA from 1 species
ACGAAUUGAAGAAGAAAAAUAAAAGCCUUAGGAGACCAAAAAGUUCAUGAAAUUAAUAUUUACUGCAAAAAUAGUUCAUUUGCCCAAAAACUCUAAAGAAGAUGAACAAAAUUAAAAAGAAAGAAAGAAUCCUUCCUUUUGACGUGUAUUCAUUCUACUACAUAUAUUUAUAUAUUAACAUACAAACUUUGUUCUACUAUUUCCUCUAUCUUUUCUUCUUUACAUAGUUCUUUUCUUUUGUUUGCUUCUUCAAGUUUCACCGCAUUCAUGCCAGCAAACAAGCAUGGUAACACACCGCCGGAGAAUGUAGAACCUCGCCCUUUGCUCCUUCACCAGCCGGCUGCACCGCCGUCCGAAUGUUUUACACGGAUUUGCCACAUGUCGAUCGCAGAAGCUUGUAUUGCUCAUCUCUUGCUUCAUUCUUUUCCCCUUCACUACAAAACUAUGAUGAUGAUGAUUCGGUUUAUUUAUGGAAUGGAAGAGAAAUAGAGAGAAAAUAAAGGUAAGUUUUUU